GAUGAACGCUGGCGGCGUGCCUAAUACAUGCGAGUCGAGCGAACAGACGAGGAGCUUGCUCCUCUGACGUUAGCGGCGGACGGGUGAGUAACACGUGGAUAACCUACCUAUAAGACUGGGAUAACUUCGGGAAACCGGAGCUAAUACCGGAUAAUAUAUUGAACCGCAUGGUUCAAUAGUGAAAGACGGUUUUGCUGUCACUUAUAGAUGGAUCCGCGCCGCAUUAGCUAGUUGGUAAGGUAACGGCUUACCAAGGCAACGAUGCGUAGCCGACCUGAGAGGGUGAUCGGCCACACUGGAACUGAGACACGGUUCAGACUCCUACGGGAGGCAGCAGUAGGGAAUCUUCCGCAAUGGGCGAAAGCCUGACGGAGCAACGCCGCGUGAGUGAUGAAGGUCUUCGGAUCGUAAAACUCUGUUAUUAGGGAAGAACAAAUGUGUAAGUAACUAUGCACGUCUUGACGGUACCUAAUCAGAAAGCCACGGCUAACUACGUG
rnacentral:rRNA from 1 species